AUAGAAAUCAUAAUGUAUGAAUAAUUUAUUGGAGUCUAAAUGUAAUAUUUAUGUAUUCCUAGACUGAAGAUUUUAAAUGUUUCAUUGAUAUGUAUACAUGUAUUGGAGGGUUACCACCCUUCAUGUAUCUUGAUUGGCUCAUGUUUGAUAUGAAGUGCUGUUCAAACUAUUGUAUGCAUCAGUUGGGUUUUGUUGAACUAUAUUUCUAUGACCAGUUUAUAAUGCGUCUCCUAUUGUUGUGCAAUUUUGUUUGUAUAAUAAAAAAUUUCUUAUAAUUG
rnacentral:sRNA from 1 species